rnacentral:rRNA from 1 species
GACGAACGCUGGCGGCGUGCUUAACACAUGCAAGUCGAGCGGAAAACUUCGGUUUUCAGCGGCGGACGGGUGAGUAACACGUGGGCAACCUGCCUCACAAUGAGGGAUAGCCUUCCGAAAGGAAGAUUAAUACCUCAUAACACAAGAGAAACGCAUGUUUCACUUGCCAAAGAAUUUCGUUGUGAGAUGGGCCCGCGGCGCAUUAGCCUGUUGGUGAGGUGACGGCUCACCAAGGCUUCGAUGCGUAGCCGACCUGAGAGGGUGAUCGGCCACAUUGGAACUGAGACACGGUCCAGACUCCUACGGGAGGCAGCAGUGGGGAAUAUUGCACAAUGGAGGAAACUCUGAUGCAGCAACGCCGCGUGAGUGAUGAAGGUCUUCGGAUUGUAAAACUCUGUCUUCUGGGACGAUAAUGACGGUACCAGAGGAGGAAGCCACGGCUAACUACGUGCCAGCCGCCGCCGUAA